UGGGGAAUUUUCCGCAAUGGGCGCAAGCCUGGCGGAGCAAUACCGCGUGAGGGAGGAAGGCCUUUGGGUUGUAAACCUCUUUUCUUAAGGAAGAAGAACUGACGGUACUUAAGGAAUCAGCAUCGGCUAACUCCGUGCCAGCAGCCGCGGUAAUACGGAGGAUGCAAGCGUUAUCCGGAAUUAUUGGGCGUAAAGCGUCCGCAGGUGGAGCGUCAAGUCUGCUGUCAAAGACCGGAGCUUAACUCCGGGCAGGCAGUGGAAACUGGCGAACUAGAGUACGGUAGGGGUAGAGGGAAUUCCCAGUGUAGCGGUGAAAUGCGUAGAGAUUGGGAAGAACACCAGUGGCGAAGGCGCUCUACUGGCCGUAACUGACACUCAGGGACGAAAGCUAGGGGAGCGAAAGGGAUUAGAUACCCCUGUAGUCC
rnacentral:rRNA from 1 species